GACGAACGCUGGCGGCGUGCUUAACACAUGCAAGUCGAACGGAAAGGCCCUGCUUUUGUGGGGUGCUCGAGUGGCGAACGGGUGAGUAACACGUGAGUAACCUGCCCUUGACUUUGGGAUAACUUCAGGAAACUGGGGCUAAUACCGGAUAGGAGCUCCUGCUGCAUGGUGGGGGUUGGAAAGUUUCGGCGGUUGGGGAUGGACUCGCGGCUUAUCAGCUUGUUGGUGGGGUAGUGGCUUACCAAGGCUUUGACGGGUAGCCGGCCUGAGAGGGUGACCGGCCACCUUGGGACUGAGAUACGGCCCAGACUCCUACGGGAGGCAGCAGCGGGGAAUAUUGCACAAUGGGCGGAAGCCUGAUGCAGCAACGCCGCGUGCGGGAUGACGGCCUUCGGGUUGUAAACCGCUUUCGCCUGUGACGAAGCGUGAGUGACGGUAAUGGGUAAAGAAGCACCGGCUAACUACGUG
rnacentral:rRNA from 1 species